rnacentral:rRNA from 1 species
UUAAGCGACUAAGCGUACACGGUGGAUGCCCUGGCAGUCAGAGGCGAUGAAGGACGUGCUAAUCUGCGAUAAGCGUCGGUGAGGUGAUAUGAACCGUUAUAACCGGCGAUUUCCGAAUGGGGAAACCCAGUGUGUUUCGACACACUAUCAUUAACUGAAUCCAUAGGUUAAUGAGGCGAACCGGGGGAACUGAAACAUCUAAGUACCCCGAGGAAAAGAAAUCAACCGAGAUUCCCCCAGUAGCGGCGAGCGAACGGGGAGGAGCCCAGAGCCUGAAUCAGUGUGUGUGUUAGUGGAAGCGUCUGGAAAGGCGUGCGAUACAGGGUGACAGCCCCGUACACAAAAAUGCACAUAUUGUGAGCUCGAUGAGUAGGGCGGGACACGUGGUAUCCUGUCUGAAUAUGGGGGGACCAUCCUCCAAGGCUAAAUACUCCUGACUGACCGAUAGUGAACCAGUACCGUGAGGGAAAGGCGAAAAGAACCCCGGCGAGGGGAGUGAAAAAGAACCUGAAACCGUGUACGUACAAGCAGUGGGAGCCUCUUAAUGGGGUGACUGCGUACCUUUUGUAUAAUGGGUCAGCGACUUAUAUUCUGUAGCAAGGUUAACCGAAUAGGGGAGCCGAAGGGAAACCGAGUCUUAACUGGGCGUUAAGUUGCAGGGUAUAGACCCGAAACCCGGUGAUCUAGCCAUGGGCAGGUUGAAGGUUGGGUAACACUAACUGGAGGACCGAACCGACUAAUGUUGAAAAAUUAGCGGAUGACUUGUGGCUGGGGGUGAAAGGCCAAUCAAACCGGGAGAUAGCUGGUUCUCCCCGAAAGCUAUUUAGGUAGCGCCUCGUGAAUUCAUCUCCGGGGGUAGAGCACUGUUUCGGCAAGGGGGUCAUCCCGACUUACCAACCCGAUGCAAACUGCGAAUACCGGAGAAUGUUAUCACGGGAGACACACGGCGGGUGCUAACGUCCGUCGUGAAGAGGGAAACAACCCAGACCGCCAGCUAAGGUCCCAAAGUCAUGGUUAAGUGGGAAACGAUGUGGGAAGGCCCAGACAGCCAGGAUGUUGGCUUAGAAGCAGCCAUCAUUUAAAGAAAGCGUAAUAGCUCACUGGUCGAGUCGGCCUGCGCGGAAGAUGUAACGGGGCUAAACCAUGCACCGAAGCUGCGGCAGCGACACUAUGUGUUGUUGGGUAGGGGAGCGUUCUGUAAGCCUGUGAAGGUGGCCUGUGAGGGUUGCUGGAGGUAUCAGAAGUGCGAAUGCUGACAUAAGUAACGAUAAAGCGGGUGAAAAGCCCGCUCGCCGGAAGACCAAGGGUUCCUGUCCAACGUUAAUCGGGGCAGGGUGAGUCGACCCCUAAGGCGAGGCCGAAAGGCGUAGUCGAUGGGAAACAGGUUAAUAUUCCUGUACUUGGUGUUACUGCGAAGGGGGGACGGAGAAGGCUAUGUUGGCCGGGCGACGGUUGUCCCGGUUUAAGCGUGUAGGCUGGUUUUCCAGGCAAAUCCGGAAAACCAAGGCUGAGGCGUGAUGACGAGGCACUACGGUGCUGAAGCGACAAAUGCCCUGCUUCCAGGAAAAGCCUCUAAGCAUCAGGUAACAUCAAAUCGUACCCCAAACCGACACAGGUGGUCAGGUAGAGAAUACCAAGGCGCUUGAGAGAACUCGGGUGAAGGAACUAGGCAAAAUGGUGCCGUAACUUCGGGAGAAGGCACGCUGAUAUGUAGGUGAAGCGACUUGCUCGUGGAGCUGAAAUCAGUCGAAGAUACCAGCUGGCUGCAACUGUUUAUUAAAAACACAGCACUGUGCAAACACGAAAGUGGACGUAUACGGUGUGACGCCUGCCCGGUGCCGGAAGGUUAAUUGAUGGGGUUAGCGGUAACGCGAAGCUCUUGAUCGAAGCCCCGGUAAACGGCGGCCGUAACUAUAACGGUCCUAAGGUAGCGAAAUUCCUUGUCGGGUAAGUUCCGACCUGCACGAAUGGCGUAAUGAUGGCCAGGCUGUCUCCACCCGAGACUCAGUGAAAUUGAACUCGCUGUGAAGAUGCAGUGUACCCGCGGCAAGACGGAAAGACCCCGUGAACCUUUACUAUAGCUUGACACUGAACAUUGAGCCUUGAUGUGUAG